UACAGAGGUCUCGAGCGUUGUUCGGAUUCAUUGGGCGUAAAGGGCGCGUAGGCUGCGGGGUAAGUCAGGUGUGAAAUCUCAGAGCUCAACUCUGAAAUUGCACUUGAUACUGCUCUGCUAGAGGACUGGAGAGGAGAUUGGAAUUCACGGUGUAGCAGUGAAAUGCGUAGAUAUCGUGAGGAAGACCGGUGGCGAAGGCGGAUCUCUGGACAGUUCCUGACGCUGAGGCGCGAAAGCGUGGGGAGCAAACGGG
rnacentral:rRNA from 1 species